GAGAUCAAUUAUUUUUUAUUAAUUGCUGAUUGUGAGGUUAUCUAGAAGAGGCUGAAGAUAUAAUAAUAGAGGAAAAGUGAUGAGAAAGGUGGUGAAGAGGAGCUUGUUCUGAAAACUUUAAAGCUAUCAAAAAUUGUCUUGGAAACGAUUUGUGGAAACUAUGAUGGAUGAACAAUUAUCCACAUUCAUCACUAAUUGUGAGGUUAUCUAGAAGGAGCCAAAGGUUAUUAGUAGAAGAAAAGCAACAAAAAACGUGGUGAAGAGCAGCUCGCUCUAGAAAUGUUGAAAAUGAAUGAUUAGAAUGAUUGAAUUAUAAAUAAAAUUCAAAAUCUAUCUUGGAAACUACUUAACGAAAACUAUGAUGGAUGAACAAUUAUCCACAUUCAUCACUAAUUGUGAGGUUAUCUAGAAGGAGCCAAAGGUUAUUAGUGGAAGAAAAGCAACAAGAAACGUGGUGAAGAGCAGCUCACUCUAGAAAUGUUGAACCUGAAUGAUUGAAUUCUAAAUAAAAUUCAAAAUCUAUCUUGGAAACUACUUAACGGAAAUAAUGCAAGGGGUGAUUAAUUAUUUGGAUUCAUCCCUAAUUGUGAGGUUAUGUAACUUUGAAGCUGGAACUAUUUCAAAUAAUUCCAACAAUUGUCUCGGAGAUUAUAUUAUAACAAAUUUUGAAGCUGGGUGUAAUUCAAAUAAUUCCAACAUUUGUCUUGAAGAUUAUGCAGCUGAAAGGAUGAAAAUGUUGACCAUAUUGGAAGUUAAUAAAAUGAAUGGGGUUAUUACUAUUCAUGAGUCUAUUUGGAAGGAAUAAAUAAGGCCUAUCUGAAAGUGAAUCUGAAGUUAUUCUUAUGUCCAGCCUCUCCUACAUCCAGGUUUCCUCAACGGAUAUGAACAAUAAAGCCAGUGUGGUGUCAUUGGCGUCACGAAGGUGCAAUUACCAUGAGGAGAUGGUUAGAAACCAGGUGUUAAUUAAUUAAUCACAACAAGGCAGAAUAUCAACAAAGUUUGUCCUAAAAUGUUAUUGGAAGUGCAAAGACGAUUCAGAAGGGAAUCAGAAAGAAAUUUAAAGCAAAGGGAAUCGUUCAAAAUGUCAACAAGAAAUAUUCUGGACGACCACUAUUAUUUAUGGCGCCAUCUAUUAUUACGAACACGUGUAUUUUUGAAUUUAUGGAAAGAGAGCAAGAUAUCUUCGCGACGUCUUGCGAUGGACUGAAAACUGUUGCAGUGCAGAGAGCCAGAAGCGUGAACAACCAACUGUCCCCACUUAGGGAAGACUCUUUGUGCAGUUAGCAGAAACGCGGAUCACCUGUCGUCUCUUCUUCGUGGUCGGAGACGCGCACCGAUUGUUGUUGGACGAAGAUAUUUUUAAAAUUCAAUUAGAAAAUAAUGUUAUUAUAAUUAUUAAAUAAAGUUUUAUGUUGAGAAUUA